UCAUGUCAUCCUAUUUCAAAUUUGACUCAGCCAAGAUAAAACCUCUAUCUGUUGCCUGUUAUACCCUGGUUCCUGAUUCAGGUGUUGGAUAAGGACCUUAUCAGAUGCAGUGAGAAAAGCGUCUUCUCCCCACUUCUUUCCGCUGCUAUCACAGAGUCCCACGGAGCCCAUCAUAUGAUGCAGGGCUACUUCCAGUGAGGCUCCGUUUCUGCAGCGUUGUGGCAGUGGAGCCUAGAGGAGUUCUCAUUGGAGAACAGAAGAAAAGCCGAAGAGGAAG
rnacentral:lncRNA from 1 species